GAUGAACGCUGGCGGCGUGCUUAACACAUGCAAGUCGAGCGAGAAACUACAUGCAGACACUUCGGUAGAAGCGAGUAGCGGAAAGCGGCGGACGGGUGAGUAACGCGUAGGCAACCUGCCCUUCACAGAGGUAUAGCCUCGGGAAACCGGGAUUAAAACCACAUAAAAUCAUAGGUUCGCAUGAACCAAAGGUCAAAGAUUUAUCGGUGAAGGAUGGGCCUGCGUCUGAUUAGCUGGUUGGUAGGGUAAAAGCCUACCAAGGCGACGAUCAGUAGCCGACCUGAGAGGGUGAUCGGCCACAUUGGAACUGAGACACGGUCCAAACUCCUACGGGAGGCAGCAGUGGGGGAUAUUGCACAAUGGGGGAAACCCUGAUGCAGCAACGCCGCGUGAGGUAUGAAGGC
rnacentral:rRNA from 1 species